CCCUUAGAUGUUCUGGGCCGCACGCGCGCUACACUGACAAUGGCAACGAGUUUUUCCUUCGCCGAAAGGUGUGGGUAAUCUUUUGAAACAUCGUCGUGCUGGGGAUAGAUCAUUGCAAUUUUUGAUCUUGAACGAGGAAUUCCUAGUAAGCGCGAGUCAUCAGCUCGCGUUGAUUACGUCCCUGCCCUUUGUACACACCGCCCGUCGCUACUACCGAUUGAAUGGUUUAGUGAGGACUCCUGAUUGGCGCCGCCGCCCCGGCAACGGAGCAGCGGACUGCCGAAAAGUUGUUCAAACUUGAUCAUUUAGAGGAAGUAAAAGUCGUAACA
rnacentral:rRNA from 1 species